GAUGAACGCUAGCGGAAGGCAUAAUACAUGCAAGUCUAGGGGGCAGCAAUGUCACCGGCGUACGGGUGCGUAACACGUAUGCAACCUACCCGUCAUUGGGGGAUAGCUCGGGGAAACUCGAAUUAAUACCGCAUAAGAUAGUAGCUCGGCAUCGAGCAGCUAUUAAAGAUUUAUUGAUGACGGAUGGGCAUGCGUUAGAUUAGGUAGUUGGUAGGGUAACGGCUUACCAAGCCUACGAUCUAUAGGGGCUCUGAGAGGAGAAUCCCCCACACUGGCACUGAGAUACGGGCCAGACUCCUACGGGAGGCAGCAGUAGGGAAUAUUGGGCAAUGGGCGAAAGCCUGACCCAGCCAUGCCGCGUGCAGGACGAAGGCCCUCUGGGUUGUAAACUGCUUUUUUGAGGGAAGAAAAGACUCGUUGCGACGAGAGUUGACGGUACCUUAAGAAUAAGCCACGGCUAACUACGUGCCAGCCGCCGCCGUAAAAC
rnacentral:rRNA from 1 species